ensembl:lncRNA PURPL p53 upregulated regulator of p53 levels
CUCUUGAGCUCUUGUGGUGACCUGGGAAUCAAUGUGUGAGGUGGUGCUAUGUAGCAGGAACCCCUCUUGCUUUGCAAAUAGUUUUUUGUUUGUUUUCCUUUUUGCCCAAUAGAGCCCUGCUCUACUGACCCUUCAAUGUGCCCGUGUGCCUAAAUAUUCCUGGUCGUGUGAAAAGAACCCAGGUAUUAGCUGAACUAAGGAGCACAAUUCUGCAACAUUUUGGCACCCAAACACGGGGCUUGAGAAAUGAAUGCAAUUGGAGAAACUGGUUGUUUUACCAGGCGUUGAUUGGAAAUGUGUGCUUCCCUUUAAGCAGUCAAGCUCAACUUGCAGAACUGAUGGGAACCCCUUGGGAAAACUGGCCUCAAAUGUUUGUCUACACAGUCCACAUACAGGGUUCUUAACCUGCGUAGAGACGGGGUUUCAUCGUGUUAGCCAGAAUGGUCUCGAUCUCCUGACCUCGUGAUUCGCCAGCCUCGGCCUCCCAAAGUGCUGGGAUUACAGGCGUGAGCCACCACGCCCAGCCGGGUACUGCAAACAUUUAAACAUUUUAAACGUUCCUCGAAGACAAUUUUUCCUUCCAGGACAAUGACUGAUACACCUUCUUAAGCUUACAACUGCAAAUAAGUCUCUGCCUAACAUAGCAUCUCUGCUAUACAGCCGGGAAUGUACUCCUACUCAAUGGGAUGGCUACACAAUGAAAUCAAUGAGUGACUGCACUUAAAAAAUGCCCAUUACAAUAUGAGCUAUGUCUUCCUGAAGGUGGCCUUUUAAUGUCAAAUGAGAUAAAGUAUGUAAAAAUGUUUUAUAAAUUUUAAAAUGUGAUAAAUAUUAUUUUGUGUGGAUGAUAAAUGUAGCUAUGGGUUCUAUUGACUGAAAGAUAAGCACUGCUCCUUCAUGAAUCAAACCAUUAAUUCCUGAUGGUGUUUAAUUAUUAUCGAACAUAUUUUUCUUCACAGGAGCUGUCAUUUAAAUGUGCUUGCCAACUAGCUUGUUUAUCAAAACAUUCCAGACCCUUUCAAAUUCUCAUUUACAUUGUUUCUUGUUUACCACACCCAUAAAUUUGUAUUACCAGCAUAUUUAACUAUCCGGCUAUUUUGGAGAUUGAAAAAAGAAGACCUGAUUUAUCAUGUGCAAUAUCUCACACAUCUGUCAUUUCUAUUCUACCGCAAUUCGAUGGAGUCUUGUUCUGUGGUCCAGGCUAGAGGGCAGUGGCAUGAUCUCGGCUCACUACAAGCUCUGCCUCCCGGGUUCACGCCAUUCUCCUGCCUCAGCCUCCUGAGUAGCUGGGACUACAGGCGCCCGCCACCACGCCUGGCUAAUUUUUUGUAUAUUUACUAGAGAUGGCUAGUGUUAGCCAAGAUGGUCUCGAUCUCCUGACCUCGUGAUCUGCCCACCUCAGCCUGCCAAAGUGCUGGGAUUACUGGCGUGAGCCACCGUGCCUGGCCAGCAUCCUCUAAUUAUUAUUCAUAGUUUGUGAAUUUAGGCCUACGUGAAUAAUAAUAUAAUAUUUACUAUGAUGUUACUAUCUACCAACCUUAUUUUUCUUUUCUAUAAAAUAGGAGCCAAAAUAAUAUUUAUGUCAUACCUUAUGAAGUUAAAAUAAAAUAUAACGAAUGAGGGGCUUAACAA